ACAUGAUUACAUCAUAGAGUUAAUGCAACGGAUCCCAUUAGAACUCUACAAUUAAGCAAGCUCAGGCUAGAGUAGUACAGGGAUGGGUGACCUCCCGGGAGUUCCUAGUAUUUUACAUGGC
rnacentral:rRNA from 1 species